UACGAAGGGGGCUAGCGUUGUUCGGAAUUACUGGGCGUAAAGCGCGCGUAGGCGGUGAUCUUUGUCAGAGGUGAAAUCCCGAGGCUCAACUUCGGAAUUGCCUUUGAAACGGGAUUGCUUGAGUCCGAGAGAGGAUGGCGGAAUUCCUAGUGUAGAGGUGAAAUUCGUAGAUAUUAGGAAGAACACCGGUGGCGAAGGUGGCCAUCUGGCUCGGUACUGACGCUCAGGCGCGAAAGCGUGGGGAGCAAACAGG
rnacentral:rRNA from 1 species